UUAGAACACGGAACUUGAGGUUCCGGCCUAUUACUCUCAGAGGAAGCCCAUCAUGGCACUGAGCGUUACUGAAAAAGCCCAGAUCGUUAACGAGUACAAGCAAGCUGAA
rfam:Pseudomonas resinovorans NBRC 106553 DNA, complete geonome.